rnacentral:lncRNA from 1 species
AGAGAGUAUUUGUUGUAAAAGAGAGUUGUUUUGAGAAGAACAUAUCUUCUCAUUUGUCGGGUUUGCUAAGUACCCAAAAUCUUAGUGGUUGAAGUGUUAGGGUGAGGUAUCCUCAAGCAAGUGACGUCUUAAGGUGCGGUAUCCUUGAGCAACUGUAACGGUUUGUUAAGCACCCGUAAGCUUGACGAAGAUAGUGGAAAUCUCGAGAGAGUCUCUCGGGGACUGGACUAGCCACGGG